rnacentral:tRNA from 1 species
GCAGGCCAGAGGCCCAACUAGCCUCGCCCGCCCCGUGAUUCCCAAGCUCAGAGCGCGGGUUCGAUUCCCGUCGCCCGCUCCA